rnacentral:rRNA from 1 species
CAGUCGCCGCGGGAAUACGAAGGUCCCGAGCGUUGUUCGGAAUCACUGGGCGUAAAGGGAGCGUAGGCGGCGUGGUAAGUCAGAUGUGAAAUCCCGGGGCUCAACCCCGGAACUGCAUCCGAUACUGCCAUGCUAGAGGAUUGGAGAGGUAGCUGGAAUUCUUGGUGUAGCAGUGAAAUGCGUGGAGAUGUGGAGGAAUACCGAUGGCGGAGGCAGCCCCCUGGGCCAAUACUGACGCUCAUGCACGAAAGCGUGGGGAGCAAAUGGGAUUAGAUACCCCAGUAGUCCCUGUCUCUUAUAC